AAUCAAGUGCCUUAAGGGUGUUCGGUGGAUGCCUUGGCGCUGAGAGGCGAUGAAGGACGUGCUACGCUGCGAUAAGCCGUGGGGAGCUGCGAAGAAGCUUUGAUCCACGGAUUUCCGAAUGGGGAAACCCACCUUCGAUAGCUGGAACUCCAAGGCCUUGUGUCUUGGGGUUCAUACAGCAAUGUGUGAGACCAAGCCGAUGAGGUUUUGGAUUUCCAGUUAUCAAGUGAAGGUAUGAAACUUCUGAAUACAUAGGAGGUUUUAAGCGAACCCAGGGAACUGAAACAUCUAAGUACCUGGAGGAAAGGACAUCAACAGAUACUCCGUUAGUAGUGGCGAGCGAACGCGGACCAGGCCAGUGGUACAUCAAAGACAACCGGAACCUGUCAGGAAAGCAGGGCCUUAGAGGGUGAUAGCCCCGUACGGGUAAUGCAAUGAUGUAUCCUUGAGUAAGGCGGAACACGUGAAAUUCUGUCUGAACGUGGGGGGACCACCCUCCAAGCCUAAGUACUCCUCAGCGACCGAUAGUGAACCAGUACCGUGAGGGAAAGGUGAAAAGCACCCCGACGAGGGGAGUGAAAUAGACCUGAAACCGGACACCUACAAACAGAUGGAGCCCAAGAUACGUUCUGGGUGACAUCGUACCUUUUGUAUUAUGGGCCAGCGACUUAAUUUAACGAGCAAGCUUAAGCCGAUAGGUGUAGGCGCAGCGAAAGCGAGUCUGAAUAGGGCGCUUAG
rnacentral:rRNA from 1 species